GCAUACUAUCAUGAUGAAUUGAAGGCUGUGUUUAAUUGAACUUUAAUUUCAGCUUAUUAAAAAUUUUAAAAACGCAUUGAACGUACCGUUUAUUCGGUACCCACUUACCCGGUACCCAUCUACCCAUUUACCCGGUACCCAUUCACCCAUCGGUAUAGCCAUUUACCCAUUUACCCGGUACCCAUUUACCCAUCUACCCGGUACCCAUUUACCCGGUACCCGUCUUUUCUUCCAUGCCGCGUUGUAAUUGUUAACAUGGGCAAGAAGUGUAGAAUCGUUCCAUUCAAUGCGAUGGACUUUUUCCCAGGCGUGUUUGGCAAUGGCUGAUUUCUCGAGUUGAGCUUUGUUGGAACAGUUCAGAUGUUCUUUUUGUCGGGUCGAGCCAAAAGCUCAGAAUUAAAUUAAAUACAUGCCGU